AUUGAACGCUGGCGGCAUGCCUUACACAUGCGAGUCGAACGGCAGCACGGGUGCUUGCACCUGGUGGCGAGUGGCGAACGGGUGAGUAAUACAUCGGAACAUGUCCUGUAGUGGGGGAUAGCUCGGCGAAAGCCGGAUUAAUACCGCAUACGAUCUACGGAUGAAAGCGGGGGACCUUCGGGCCUCGCGCUAUAGGGUUGGCCGAUGGCUGAUUAGCUAGUUGGUGGGGUAAAGGCCUACCAAGGCGACGAUCAGUAGCUGGUCUGAGAGGACGACCAGCCACACUGGGACUGAGACACGGCCCAGACUCCUACGGGAGGCAGCAGUGGGGAAUUUUGGACAAUGGGCGAAAGCCUGAUCCAGCAAUGCCGCGUGUGUGAAGAAGGCCUUCGGGUUGUAAAGCACUUUUGUCCGGAAAGAAAUCCUUGGCCCUAAUACGGUCGGGGGAUGACGGUACCGGAAGAAUAAGCACCGGCUAACUACGUG
rnacentral:rRNA from 1 species